rnacentral:lncRNA from 1 species
UUCCAUUCAACUUCUAGGUUUAUUAUCUGUGUUUUUUUCUUUCAACUCGGUCGAUAUUAAAGCUGACCACAGUUUCUUGAGUUCGGUUGUCAUCAGAUGAAAAACUAAUCAACACACAUCUUACUUUGUUUCGAGAAUGAAUAUUAGAUAUGGCAUUUUUUCACAGUUUAUCUGUUAAUAAGAUUUUAUUUGAUUGUGUAGACUACGUUCUUCCCAGGGAGAGUGGGUUUGGUGUGCCCAACACGCUUUUUCAAACAGCUUCUAACAAGAAGGUUAAUGUAUCUUCUGCCGGUUUAGCAAGAGCCAAGGCAUUGCUAGGACUAGAAGAAGAUGAUUUGAAUGGAUUUAACCAUGUGAACCAGUCGUCUUCUUCCCUCCAGCAACAUGGGUUGUCCGUUUUAAAAACUCAUGAGGAGUUUGACGCUACAGUGGUUAAGCAUCAUUCAGGAACUCCAGGACAAUAUGAGGAUUAUGUGUCUGGGAAGAGACCUGAAAUCUUAAAUCCAUCUUUAAAGGUGCCUCCAACAAAGUUUCAGACUGCUGGUGGAAAAUCAUUGUCAGUGUCAGCUGAGGCGUUGAAACGUGCCAGAAACCUUCUUGGUGAUCCUGAGUUAGGGUCUUUCUUUGAUGAUGUGGCUGGAGGUGAUCAAUUUGUUACACCACAGAAAGAUGAAAGGUUAGGUGAUAUUGCUAUAAACAAUGGAAGUGCCAACACAGGUUAUAUUGCUCAUGAAGAAAAGUCAAGCAACAAACAUACGUCAAAUAGUUUUGUAUCUCCUCUUCGGUCAUCUUCAAAGCAAUUUAGAUCAGUCAACUUGGAGAACCUAGCUUCAGGGGGUAAUUUGAUCAAGAAAUUUGAUGCAGCUGUUGAUGACACAGACUGUGCUCUGAAUAUCACUGAACUUGCUACACAUGGACUAUCAAAUAACAAGCCUAUAGCAUCUAAUAUGGCAGUGACUAAUUCCAAGGAAAACGGUUUCAUUCCAAGAGCUAGGCAAUUUGGAAGGCCAGCUGAUCAGCCGCUUGUCGAUAUAACAAAUUGCAGUGAUACAGCUUAUGCAAACAUUAAACAAGACAGUACCCAAAAGAAAAGGCUGGGAAAGACAGUCUCCGUCUCUCCUUUCAAAAGGCCAAGGAUUUCAUCCUUUAAAACUCCUUUAAAGAAAAAUGCUCAGCAAGCUUCAAGUGGUAAAAUAUUCAGGAUUUUUUUUUUUCAGGAACAUUUAUAUGAUUUUUAUGUUAAUCUGUCUGUUAUCAGGUUUGUCUGUUGUAUCGUGUGAUACACUUACUUCCAAAAAGGUGCUUUCUACAAGAUACCCAGAAAAGUCUCCAAGAGUAUAUAUCAAGGAUUUUUUUGGAAUGCAUCCAACAGCUACGACCAAGGUAAAAUCUUUUUGUCCCUUUCACAUUUUCCUGCGUUACAUAUACUUUUUUCUUCAUUCACUCAAACCACACUUACGAGGUGGUUUUAGAUGGAUUAUGUGCCAGACCAUGUCAGAAGAAUCAAAUCAAGUAAUGCAGAUAAAUAUGUAUUCUGUGAUGAGUCUUCUUCAAACAAGGUUGGAGCUGAAACUUUUCUUCUAAUGUUGGCUGAGUCUGGUGCUUCCUUACAACAUGCAUCCAGAAAGUAAUUUCUCUGCCCCUUGAAAUGUUUCAAGUUAACCGUGUUAUUUGUUUAUUAUAUCAGAAAAAAGUGUGUGACUGUUUUUUUUACUCUUGCAUGUGAUUGUCACUCUACUAGAUAGACAGUGAGUAAUGAUGUCUAUAUCUAUUAACUUAUCUAUCACUAUAUAUGCACUAGGUGGGUCACUAAUCACUACAGGUGGAUAGUCUGGAAACUUGCAUGCUACGACAUAUACUACCCAGCCAAAUGCAGAGGAAACUUUCUGACAAUCACCAAUGUUCUUGAGGAACUAAAAUACAGGUUUCCCAGUCUCACAACAAAGCUCGUUGUUAUUUAAACUCAUGCAAAGUCUAACAUGGUUAAUCUUUCUUAAUAGAUAUGAGAGAGAGGUCAAUCAUGGUCAUUGCUCCGCAAUCAAGAGGAUUCUGAGUGGUGAUGCUCCAGCUUCUUCAAUGAUGGUGCUCUGCAUAUCAGCUAUUAAUCCUAAGACCGAUAAUGAUUCUCAGGAAGCACAUUGUUCUGAUAUUUGCAGCAAUGUGAAAGUAGAACUCACUGAUGGGUGGUAUGAAAUUGCUAUUGCUGUUCUGUUACCUGUUUUCUUGUCUCCUUUCCAAAGGAUUUUUUUUUUUAAAAUCACAGGUACUCGAUGAAUGCUGCUCUGGAUGUCGUGCUAACAAAGCAGCUGAAUGCUGGCAAAUUGUUUGUCGGGCAGAAGCUUCGAGUAAGUUAUUUCAUGCAAGGUUUAUUUUGUUUUGCAACACAUGUUUUGGUUAGAUCACUGACUUACAGCAUGCUUACGUUCUUCUCUCUUAUCUGAAGAUCCUCGGGGCAGGACUUUCUGGCUGGGCUACCCCAACAUCACCACUUGAGGUUUCCUAGACUUUGAAUUUUAUAAGAUUUUCUGAAACCUUCUCAGGUUGGUUUCUUCAUACUUCAUAGUUUCAUUCAACCAAAACUUUCAGGCAGUGAUUUCAAGUACAAUCUGUUUGUUGUUGAAUAUUAAUGGGACAUACAGAGCUCACUGGGCAGACCAACUAGGCUUCUGUAAGUAGCUUUAUGCUGUGGACCUCACUACAUUAUCUGAGUUCUUAUUGCUUUCAUAUUGUUAUCUUUAUAUUGACCGUCUUUUAAUCUCUUCCUCAAGGUAAAGAAAUUGGUGUCCCUCUGGCUUUCAACUGUAUCAAGUGCAAUGGGGGUCCAGUGCCUAAAACGCUAGCUGGCAUCACACGAAUAUACCCCAUCCUAUACAAGGAAAGGUUAAUAUAAAUGUGUGCCUGUUAAUGCAACUUGGUCUUCUCUAUACUUCUGGCAAAGACAUAUUUUCUUGGUAUAUUACAGGUUAGGUGAAAAGAAGUCAAUAGUUCGAUCAGAGAGAAUGGAAAGUAGAAUUAUACAGCUGCAUAAUCAGAGGCAAGUUUCCUUACAACUGUAGAGAGCAAUUUUUAGUAACCUUUAUGUGAUCAAUUUAGCACAUGCAUCUCUUUCUAAGAAGUGUCAGAUUAACUCAUCAAAGCUAGAAACAUUUUGUUCCAUACAACAAUAUUAGGUUUCUAAGUAGUUAUUGGGACAGACAAACAAUCUUUGUAUAUAUUAGAAAAGCUUCUGGCCUUCUGAAUAUGGAUGGUUUUGCCAACAGAAGAGCCAAAGGUUGCAGUUCCUCAUGGUUUUAUUCUCAUUCGUACCUGCAUCUUUGUUUUUUGUUUUCCGUAGGCGCUCAGCUCUUGUUGAGGGUAUUAUGUGUGAGUACCAGAGAGGAAUUAAUGGUGUUCACAGCCAGAACGACACUGACAGCGAAGAAGGAGCCAAGGUCUUUAAGCUGUUAGAGACGGCUGCUGAACCUGAACUCCUAAUGGCAGAAAUGAGCCCAGAGCAGUUGACAUCUUUCACUAUAUAUAAAGCAAAAUUUGAGGUAGAAUAGUAAUUUCCUUUUCUUGAUAUAUUGAUUACACUAGUUAACUGCUUCAAUCUGAACCUCAGGCAGCCAAGCAAAUGCAGAUGGAAAAAUCAGUGGCAAAAGCACUGGAAGACGCUGGCUUAGGUGAAAGGAAUGUCACCCGAUUCAUGAGGAUUAGGCUUGUUGGCCUGACGAGUUUAAGUUAUGAAGGAGAGCACAAUCCAAAAGAAGGCAUUGUAACAAUCUGGGAUCCCACGGAGAGACAGGUACAUUCAAAUGCCUAAAUCUGAAUGUUUCAUGCACAAUCGUUACCAUCACUGUACUGUUGCAUUAUGAGCAUCAUCGAUUAGCUUGAGCAACCUGUAGAUUCUCAAAACAGUUAUCAUUGUCUACUACUGUGAUAGAGAACCGAGCUGACAGAGGGAAAAGUAUACAUAAUGAAAGGGCUGGUACCAAUGAACUCAGAUUCAGAAACACUUUACUUACAUGCCAGAGGAUCUAGCUCGAAAUGGCAGCCUUUGUCUCAGAAAGAUUCUGCAAAUUUUCAGUAAGUUGUUUCGUGGACUUUCUUUCGUAGACACACCGGAAUCUAUCUCAUUUAUUUGUUCAAUUUCCCUGGUGUUUUCAGGCCCUUUUUCAACCCACGUAAACCAAUCUCUUUGUCAAAUCUUGGUGAAAUUCCUGUUUCAAGGUUAAUCUCAGUCCAAGCUUUUUAUAAAACACUCUUUACCGCACUUACUUUGCUAAUCUAUGCAAUUAUGUCAUUCAGUGAAUUUGAUAUCGCUGCGUACGUUGUAUAUGUUGGAAAUGCAUACACGGAUGUUCAACAAAAGAAGCAGUGGGUGUUUGUGACAGAUGGAUCCACUCAACAUUCAGGGGAAAACUCAAACAGUCUUCUUGCUAUAAGCUUCAGCACCCCAUCCAUGGAAGAUAGCUCUAUUUCCCACAUCAGCCAUAAUUUGGUUGGAUCCGUGGUAUGUACAAAUUCUAAUCUUGUUUAGUUUUACACUGAGAGAAAAGAAAUUACUUUUUGAAAAAUGUUUGUGGGUCUUACUUAAUAUCUGGCAGGUCGGAUUCUGCAAUCUAAUUAAAAGAGCAAAGGAUGCGAAAAACAAAAUGUGGGUUGGUGAGGCAACAGAGAACUCAGUGUACUUCAUAAACGCAGAAGCUGCCUACUCUUCUCACCUCAAAACCAGCAGUGCCCAUAUCCAAGCAUGGGCUAAGCUCUCUUCUUCCAACACCGUUCGUACUCUUCGACUUCUUCUUUCUAUAAUUAUUUGGUUCAAAAAGAUUGGAUUAUUAUAUAAAACCUUCUUGUUUUGCUCAAUUUUCAGGUCAUCCAUGAACUUCGGCAAACAGUCCUAUCUAUAAUCGGUGCUUGUAAAUCACCUUCAUGCUGAAGAUACACCUCUUCUCUUAAUUUUUGUUCAUAAGCCUUAAGUUGUCUAACCCACCCUGCAGAAUGUAUCUAUUAAAGCCCAUUUUGCUACAUAAAUUUCGUACAAAUAAACAAUCUUUACAUUUUGCUAAAUUUGGCCUCCUGUCUAUAUUAGGAAAAGGAUGUAACAAAUAUGGAUCCGUCAGUACUUUGCUCAUUUAAUUUUAGGCGACAUCCCAGUAAAAAGAAAAGGUUUUAUUCAUUUCAUUUUCACAAAAACUGGAAAAGCAAUUGAUUCCAGACAUCAGGAACUCCAGGUACACACCAAUGAGUACAGUCAGAAUACAAUGCUGGGUUUUUCAACCGGUCUUCGUUUAGAGGUUCCCAGAAUUUCCGGUACACCGAUGGAUGACCAUCUUUUCGAUACUCAGACAACUGAGUGAUGUUUAUAACCGAAACCUUUGGUCCCAAUCUAUCCAAAACUCUCUUCACCAUCUUCAUUGUCGGAAUGUCCGACCCACUUCCCCAAUAACUCUCUUCCUCUAUCGGUUUCUUCUCCCCGUAGCAGUUUCCUUCGCUUCCCGGGUUCCAUUCUCGGCUCCUGACCGGUUUCAACAGCUCAGUUUUAAUGCGUAAAAAAAGAGAGUAAAAUCGAUCAUAUUGAUAGAGAGAACUGGGGAUAAGUAUUUUGUUACCAUUGAUGUGUAGGAGACAUUGUAACGAAGAAAACUCGCUUUGUGUUUGGAUCGACAUUGUUAGCAAUCCAAUCACCCCAAGUAUUCAUUGCCAUCUCCAUUCCCUCGGCGCCCUUCACCUCCUCGCAUGACCCUCUUUCUUCACUGCUCCAUCUUUAGUUUGAAUAUGCAAUGAGUACCAAUUGUUUCGUUUGGUUUUGCAGAUGUGAAGAAAACGAUGUCUAUAUAAUAUACUUACCGGAGCUUGACAGAGUCUUGUCUCCACCAUAAGUAUGUGUUGAAGAUUAGAAUAUCAGCAUAUUGCCACUUUGAUGCAUGCUUAAGAACAGAAUCGGGUCGGAUAAUGCGUUCGCCCAAUCUGUGAUUAACAGGGUCAUCAGAAUUCGAUUCCACGAGCAACGGUGCCCAGAGAAACUCCACCGUGGCAUUGUAGUCCUGCGGGGUACAUACACCAAAGUAACCAAUCGCACCAAAAAACAGAACAAAGAGUUGUCAAGGCAUAUAAACUGAAAUGUAUUUAUUACCUCAGCCCUGAAAAUGGUGAGGUGAGCGUUAGGAGACAUAGAUUGCUUCUCACGUGGAAUGACAGACUGUAAGAGACAAACCAUUGAAAUCCAUUGGCCUCUGUUUAGUGAGUCUCCAACAAACAUCAAUCUCUUUCCUCUCAGCUUCUCCCACAUUUCUGUCACAUUCCAUCUACCAGACAAAAUGGUAAACACCUAAAUCAUCAGUUUCGAUACAUUCUUUGCAAACAAUAGUAGCACCCAAAUUCAUAAACAAGCUAUUCAUCAAACCAACCUCUUCAAGUUGCAGGCAUGAGGUUGCCAUCUCCAAUGCUGAUACUCCAAAUCCUUCCUACCAUGCUUCUGACAAGCCAACUGGUCGGACAUGUAAGGGCACUGAGAUUCCUUGUGUAAAGGGUAUGAUGAAGAAUUAUCAAAGACCCAUUUCCCAGAGAAGACAUCACAUUUCUGGUCAUCCUUUGCUGUUAGACCCGGGUCUUCAAACGGGUCAACCCAUCCGAUUUUCUUCCCACUGUACUCUUUCGUCGAGUUGCAUUUGCUGAAUCUAUCCAAAACCUCUGCCAUUUGUUUUAAGUAACAAUUAGUAAGUUUCCAUAGAAGUAGCAACGAUUUGAGCAGAGAAAGUAGCACGAAUCACUUCAAAAUCGAAAAAUCAAAUCAGAAAAGUACCAAGAGCUCCCAAGUAGUAAUUCCCAGGAACAUUAGGCUUGACGAGAUUGGACGUCGAAGCUUCUCGGAGAUUUUGACUGUGACUGGCCGCGUGGUGGUGGAUCUGCUGAAUGCUACGCUCGUUGAAGAGAAUCAUAAAGGUGACGACGAGCAUAAAGAGGAGACCCGCUAAUGGAAGCCGACUCUUUUUUCUGCUACAUCUCUGCGACAUCGGAGACUUGUUUCAAGAGAAAAUGUCACCAAGCACCAGAGUAAGAGGAAGAAGAACUCUUCUUCUUCUUCUUCUUCUUCUUCUUCUUCUUCAGUAGAGGCGAGAGAGAGAGAGAGCAGAGAUUAAUACUAUUUCAAUUUGUUUUUUUUUCUUAAAUAUAAUUUUUGUAAUUUGACUUUUGACGUUUAUUUACCAGAUCCCAUCUUUCUUCCUCUUUGGCUCUAUUGAAUCCGUCGAGCUGUCUUUAUCUUUUUAUUUUAAAGAAUAAAAAUCCUUUUGUUUCUUUCUAUUAAAGAAUAAUGGGUAAAUUGCAUGUUAUGGCAGUUGACCAAGUUUUAAUUUCAUGUUUUGGCAAAGUGAGAAUGGGCUUUCAAGUUUUGACAAUUUAGCCAAAAUCUAACCAUUUUACCCCUGCCAGCGUACCGAUGUACUGUUCACUGUACGGUUCAGUUAUGCGGUUCAGUUAUGUAUACUGUUCCGGUUUAGUUAUGCAGUUCAGUUAUGCAGUUCAGUUAUGCGAUGUACUGUUCACUGUACGGUUCAGUUACGUACACUGUACACGGUUCAGUUAUGCGGUUCAGUUAUGCGAUUGACUGUUCACAAUUUUCUUAUAAUCUUUUGUUUUUUUACAUUUAAUUUAUUUAUUGAUUUUGUAAAUCUAGUUUAUAUUAGCAUAUUUUGAAGUCGAAAAACUAAAAUACAAACUCUAUAAAUAUUACGUACACCGUCUCCACAAUAGUACAUGAUAUAACUGAAGUACAUAUCCAUUUUAUAAUCAAUACUGUGUAUACCGUAAACUACAUACACGUAAAUAGAAAAAACUCAAAUAAGGACAUAUUUCUACCAAAAAUAUCUUACUAAUUUCAUACAAGUUUUCUACGAAAUCAAUUAAAAAAAUAUUAAUAAUUUGUUUUCAGUAAAUAAUUGAAAUCAACUAUGAUCAACACACAAAUUGACUCUAAUGAGACUCACAAAACUCCAGCUCUGUUACGCAAUUUACAUAAUCAUAUGUCAAAUACGAGAAGCAGUAGAAACAAACCUCACAACUAAAGAAAAACAUUGAGGAAGAGUAUGUUUUAACGUGACACAGAGCCGUGUGUGGUUUGAAAAUCUUAAACACUUGUCAGUAGAUGAUUCGCUUUUCCAUUUUAUAAAUAUUUAUUGUUUUUAUAUUUUUAGUUAAAAUUCUUUUUUUUUCUAUCAGACCCAUUUUCAUAUUUUUAUUUCUAUUUUAAAUAAUAUUUUAUUUAUUAUUAUCGAAGACUAUUCACGAUUAGCAAUAUCAUAUACACAUAUGUGCGUAACGGUAAUAAUAUAUACGUACACGGUAAUAAUGUGUACGUACACGGUAGUAAUGUGUGUGUAUAUAUGUACGUAAAUAUCUAAAUAAUUUGUAUAUUUACGUUUCAAAUAUUUUUUGACUAUAAAAACAAAACAUUCAAAUCAUGUAUGAACAACAUAUGAAAAAAAUACAGUCAUACAAAUAACUGACAUAAUAACUUAAUUUUGAUGUCAAAAAAUUAAAUUAAUGUUGUACCAUGUACGCUCCAAUAAAUAUUUUUGUGUACGUACAUAGUAUAAGACUUAUGUGAUUUAGGCAUUUUUAGGAUGUAACUGUUUGGAGAGAUCGUAUGAUGCGGACAUCAAACAUGUUGAUGGACUAGCUGAGCUAUUUGCUGAAGGAGUUGUAAGAGAUAAACAUAAUCCAUCAAACAAACAAAUUAUUCUGAAUGAAUGUGAUGCUGGAGAAGUUUUGAUCUUCUUGAUUUACAAAGUUUGGAGCCAAGACAAGCAUUGAUCUUGUAAGUAAUGAAAUUGGUUAAGAAGUUUUUUGUUAUAACACACUAGGGUCUUGAUUGUGUUCGAAAUCAACAUUGUUUUUAUAUAAAAACCCAGAAUAUUUUUAUUUCCAAUUUUUUUAGUUGAAAAUGCUGAAUGAGGAUAGAUUUAUGUAUAUAAGUGUGUAGUUGGGAAUUCUUUUUGUUUUUUGUAGAUAUAAUCAUGCUUUCAUUUGCAUUUAAUGGGGUUCUGCUGAAUUUAUGAUGCAAGUAGGUAAUGGAUAUUCCCGUAUUUACUAUGGUGGGUGAGUGGAGAUGCAAAGAAGAAGAAUGAAAAUUUGAACCAUGGGAAGGCUGGUUUGGUCGUUGUGUACGUGUUAAGGAAAACAUGACGUACACGGAAUUUGUACUUACAUUAUGCGAGGUUUUCAGUUUGAAGUCCACCGAACGCAAUCCAAUAAUUAGUUACUGGAUGCCGGGAAAGAUGUCAGUGAUGAUAGAAAGUAAACGUCCUCCUGUCUACAUUGACAAUCAAAUGAGCCUGGAUACCUUCUUUUUGAUUCGUGGUGGGGAUCCUAGUGUCACCUUGUUUGUCUCUUUCAUUACAACCGUCAAGAAACUCGGGAAUACUGUCCCUAGGACCGAUGGUGACGAUGGUGAGAGUUACCGUGUGUGUGGGAGUGCAAUGACACCAAAUCCCAUCGUAGCGGCUUCAAAUGUAGAUGGAAAUAAUGAGGCCGUAGAUGAGCAAGACGACAUUGAAGACGAUAAAACAGAUGAGGAUGAAGAAGAUGAGGAGGAGGAUGAAGAUUACGAUUUCAACAAGUGGAAUGAUUUGAUUGUAGAAGAAUAUGGAGUUGGCCAUGUUGAGGAGGACGUCUGUGACAUUCCACCGACUGGAACCGGCAGAGGAAUACAGUCGUAUAUUGGCAGAGUGUACGACCACAAGUCAACGUGUACGUACAUGAGAAACCAGUGCGAAUUUGGGUGACACUCAGCUAACUAUGAAUUCAACCCGGACAUGUCAACAUGGAUUGCUCCAAUGUACGUACACUAGAGAAUGUGUACGAGACACAUGAUGCGAAGGUAAAUUUGUUACGUAUACGGUAGUGGUAGUGCCGAAGACUACAUUACAACGAGUGGACUGAUUUUGGUGUUGAGAAAUAUGGGAUAAGACAUGUCAGAAAUGUUGAUGACACUCAACUUACUAUGAGGCUAACAUGAAAAAUUCAAUUGAUUAUUAGAAAUGUGUACGUAUACUAAUUAACAUGUACGUAAUUGAUAAAAUGUCGAUCAUUUUGGAAAAAUGAUGACAUUCAACCAUUUGUGAGUCAUAACCAGGAGGUAAGACAUGAUUUUUGGAAGAAUGUACGUACAUUACUAACUAUGUACACGAGAAAGUAUCUGACGGUAAAUGUUUGACGUACACAAAUGCAAAUUGGCAUGAUAUAUGUAAAGUGAAUGGUAAUUGUGUGGAUUUUGCUCUAGUCUUCGAUGAUUUAGUAAAUGCCCGAGUUGAUGAGACAAAAAUAUAAAUUAGUACGACAAGAGAGACAUUGUAUGUUGGGAGUGUAUUUAGAAAAAAAAAAUCAAAUAACAAUGGCAUCAUAUCUAGUAGGAGCGUCAUAGAAUACAUCCCCGCCAUCGCCAAUAUUGGUUUAUUAUUUUAUCAAUAAAUUUAUCUUAACAAAUCUAAUUUAUCGACAAAGGUGUAUGUUCAUUAUUACACGUGUACGUACAUAAGUUUUUCAGAAAUAUGAAGAACAAAUAUUUUUUGACUAUAUAUUUUUUUAAUUAUUAUAUAUGCAUGUAUUUUAUUGAGAUAUAUGAAGAAGUAACAAAAUGGCUUAAUUUUGGAGUCAAAUCCUAUAAUUUUUAAUUUUUUUUGAAGAGGGUGGUUAGAGAUUUAUUACAACCACUUUAAUAUUAUACGGAAAAACGGUCUAUUUCCCCACGAAAAGUAUCACAUCACGACAGAUAGAGCCCAAUCUAUGACCACGUGCUAGAUAUCCCCGAAAUAAUAGUUUUCAACCUAUAAUCCCCCAAAUUCAUAGUUCGAAAGCUAUUUUUCCAUAAAUCUGGAUUUAAUCGGUUUAUGAACUAAACCGAUAUAAAACCACUUAAACCCGAUAUGAAACCAAAUUUAAAACCCAAUUGACAUUUUAAACCCGACCCGAUCUAAAUCCCCAAAUUUUCUUAAAAAUCCCCAAAUUCUCAAAUCUAAGAACCCUAAAAUCUCCCAUGUUCAUCAUCGUUCUUGCUCCUCCUUCCAUACACAAUUCGAAUGUUCAAACUUGUGUCUAGUGUACAGUGAAACGAUGAAGCUUCUCAAAAAAACAUACAAAGAAAGAGGUGAAGAAAUUCAUUUUAUGAAGAUUUUGAUCUAAGAAAGUGUAAAAUCAAUCAAAUUUCACAUUGAAAUUAAAACACGUCCUGCAAUUUCGGUGUCCUACUACCAAAACCAACAACAACAGUAUCUUUGAUACAGAAGGAAACAUUUGGAACCAACAACUGUCCAAUUGUCUUCUUCUUCUUCCUCUUCUUCUUCUUCCUCUUCUUCUUAACCAUGGAGUCGGGUAAAGUUCAAUUAAUGCAUUGGAGAAACUGAUAGUUGUGAUCCCAUAGAUAGACAUAGAGAUAUAAAAAAAAUAGUUUUAAUAUUUAAUCGUUUGAUGAUUUGAUUUGGAAUUAGAUAAAAGCAACAUAACAAGAAGAAAACGAAGAAAUACAGUAGGUGGGUGAGAGAGAACGUUGGGUUGGGUGUUUUUCUUGGGUCGGGCAAUUAGUUGUAAUUGGGUUGUAAUUGGUUUAGCUUAGGUUUAAUCCGGUUAAAUAUCUUUGUUAGUUGGUUAAGAAAACAGUAAACCGAGUAAAAUCAAAAUUUAUGGAUAAUUAGAUGAAAACUAUUAUUUUGGAGAGAUAUAGAUUUCGAACUAUGGAUUCGGGGGGUUAUAGAUUGAAAACUAUUAUUUCGGGGAUAUCUAGCACGUAGUCAUAGAUUGGGCUCUAUCUGUCGUGAUGUGAUACUUCUCGUGGGGAAAUAGACCGUUUUCCCAUAUUAUACCAUAUACGUUCCACUAAGAAACUUUCGUGUACGUACACCGUAAAUUGCAUAUACGUACAGAGAAGAAAUUCUAUAAAGGGUAUAACUGUAAUUUUUCAGUCAUCUUCAACCUGAGUAUAUUUUUCUGCAACCCUAAUUUUUUUGCCAUCGUUAACAGUUAUCUCAUAAUCUUGUUUUCUUUACGUUUUGAAUGUUUUUUUACUUAUAAAUCUUGUAAAUCUAGCAUAUUUUAAGUUUGAAAAGGUAAAGUUGAGUCUCCGGAAAUUUGUUGCAUUUGGCUCGUCGCCGGAAAUAUGAAAUUUAUUUCCACCUCCUCGACUCAAAAACUCUGAAUCGAAGAUGAAUGAGAGACUAUUCAGAUCUUAAGAAAACGAUUAUCACUGAGAUUUUUGAAGAUGAAAAAGUUGAGAUUUUUGAAUUCUUUUACUUUCUGUUUCUUUCAAUAAUUUUUUUUUCUCACUUAUAAUGAAACAAAAAAAAAAGAAGUACAAACGUAACUAAAUGAUAAUAGUUUAUGGUUAGGGGCAUUUUGGUCCGAAAAAACACAAAUUGUUAAAUGGUGAAAGCCCAACUUGACUUUGUCAAAUGGUGAAAGAAAAAUUCAAUUCCUUACUAAACGUGAAAAUAACUUAAGAAUAAUUACCUCUUUAAAUGUACAUCAAAAUGCUUAUCAUCUCAUGCUUUUUUUUUGGUGUAAGUAUCAAAUUCAUUUUGAGCAUCUCAGAGAACAGAAAUUACCAACACACAAAAAAAAAAAAUUACGUCCAAAUCAUCGAUCGAGCACACGAAUAGUUAUUUAUACAAUUGAGAAAGAAAAAAACAAAGUAGAAUUGCUCCGACCGUAUUGAAGUUAUCAUCAGAUUCAUGAAUAAGUUAAAUGGACACUCACAGUAGGCUUUGAAUCGAAACCAAAACGUAAACGAAAAAAUCAUCAAACUUUGGAAGAAUUAUAAUUAAUGGGAUACCCAUUAGCCAGCCAGGAAGGAGUUAGUUUAGAAUUUAUCGACUCGGAGGCCAUUUCUUUGAACCUCAUAAGCAUCUCUGCUUCUGCUCUUCUUCAUUCCUGCAGUGAAGUAGACCUUUGAUGCAUCUGCAGAUAUGCUUGUCACUUUUACCCAUAUCAUUACUUUUGUCUUGAUUCCUUCCACAUCUGUUAGCUUUCCUUUCUCAACAUGUCCUGUUACGGUUGUUGUGAAUUUCAAGACUGAUGAAUCCUUGUAUCCAACUUCGCAUAUCGAUGGGAUCAAAACGGUUAGUUUCUUUGUCUCUUCAUCGAACUCAUAGUUUGUAGCAUCCCCCGGGAAGAUUCCCACAGGCAAAUCAUACUCUUUUAGUAACUCAGGCAACGGCUUCUGCAUUUUCCCUGCCAAGAAGACAAAAAUUAAUGGAUGGAAUGUCAAAAAAAGAAGUUGAAAUUAAGAUGCAGUUGAAGAAGAAGAAUCAAAAAGCAAACCUUUGAUCUUGUUGACCAACCAUUUUGUUCCUCCUUCAAUGCUCGUUGACACCGACUGCCAAAAACAAAACAAUGUUAAUAAGAAUGUUCAUGAUCACACGGUUCAAACAAAAUCAUCUAACUAACUGUUGAAUGUAAUAAUGGCAAUGAGAAAUAAAAUCAUCAAAUCAUCAUUGUUUUGGUUCUUCCUUAUGUGUUGUGAUUUACCUACGAAUGACCUCAAACAUGGUACAACUGCAGGAUAUAUACAAGAAUUACGAUAGAGGACGUUGAUUACAUCGGAAUGAAAAACACACAAUCACAUGAAGGAACCAGAUUGCUUGAGUCAAAAUCGAUCAGGAUAACAGAUGAAUCAGAUUCUAUAGAAUGUGUCAAAAAAGACGUACGUUGAGAUCGUUGCCGACGGAGUCAAAUUGCUUGUUGGCCUUCUGGCCUAACCAGUAGGAUCCAACCUUGUUGAAGAUCUGAUCCAUUCUCUCUCUCUCUCUCUCUCUCUCUCUCUCUCUCAGAUUUUCAAAUCAACAGAGAGGAAGAAAGAAGGACAAGAUUUUGAGAAAACGAACGAGACGACUUUCUUCUUCCUUUGUUUUUCUCUCUCUCUCUCACCGUUGGGUUCGUUAUUUGUGCACUAUUCCUACAGCCAAUUGACAUAUGACAUGUGGCAAAUACAUAAACAGCACAUAUUUAUUGAAGCAAGCAGUAGUAUAUUAUAUUGUACAAACAAAAACAAGUAUUUGCCUAUCACUCCUCCUUGGGACUAUAUAUUUUUGUUUUUUUUUUUAAUACAGAUUUAAAUGGCUACAACACAACUUGGAAACUGAAGAACCACAUGGCACAAAACAGAGUAAAAUUAAAGACUACAAUCAAUCCUUUUUUUUUUUUCCCCCAUAAACAAUAUUUCCUCCCAUGAUUUUACUUGUCUAUUCUUUCCAAAAAACAAAAAGUAGAAAAUCAAUUAUUGAAAAUAAUUUUUUUAUUAUAUUUCUGUGUGAAAUGAGGUUUAAACUAACAUCAACUAAAUUUAUAAUUACUGUUGAAAAUAUUAUUAAGCUCUAAAACACUUUAUAGCCUACCCUUGUCUUUGUGCAUUCCAGAGUCAUACGAAUCGAUUCAAAUCAAGCCAAGAAAAUUAAAAGAGAAAAAAACAAGCCUAACUACACCUCCCUUAUUUAAAGCUUAAUUUUUGUCCUGGCCAACAUUAAAGCUUUGAUAAGCUUGAUAUUUUUUAUCUUGGGCCGUGACAUUAGUAAUGAGGCCCACAAUGUACUUACUCCGACGUGUAAUUGUCUCCGAUAAAGACAAGGAACCAUUUGGAACCUCUCACGCGCUUUAGUUGGAAAUUACGUAGAGUUGAGCUACUCACGACUCUAACCUAUCUGUUUCCCGUCUCCAUCAAAUAUCCUAGAGAGCCACGAAUUUUUCUUUCUUCUUUGUAAAUUCUGAAUAUUAAGCCACAUACACGGUGUUCAAAAAAAAAAAAAGCCACAUACACAUUAGACGAAAAGUCUAUAAGGGUUUGCACCAUUCUCAACAAUCUUAUUUGCUAGUAGUAGCUUUGGUGAUUUUUUUAAAACAUGUAAAUAUUUUUAUCUCUAUCCUAAAAUUUCCUAUGUCAAAAUAUGCGUCACAGGAUUUUACACGUCUAACUUAUGUUGUAAACGCUAUCUAUCAUCUCUUUUUUUUUUUUAUAAUAAACAAUUUGUAUUUGUUAUCAUCUAUCUACAACUCUAAAAAAGAUAUUUAAAAAGAAUAGGAGAGAGCGAGUAGGAAAAAGGAAAGUGGCAACGCGAGAGUAGGAAGCGGAAAUGGUAAAAAGAUUCUGAGGAUAAAAGAGAAAGCAGAGAAACAGACAAACUUUAUUUGGAGAGAUGUUAACGUGGAUCGAAUAUCCUCACGUUCACACUAUCCCCAUUGGACCUAGCACGAGGCCUCCACACGCCCCCUACAUCUGGCCUUAUCUCCACCCUCCACGUGGAUCUUCAUCCAACGGUGACCACACGCCUUUUCCCUCUUAUAUAAUAAACCCUUCCUCUCUUCUUAUCAUCACCACCUUCUUACAACAACAAAUCUCAGGCGGCUCAACCCUAAAACUCCCCUCCCAAAACUACAUUUUCCUACGAUGGCCUCGAAGGCACUCUCUUCCUUCACCGCUAAUCCCGCUCUGUCUCCCAAGCCACUACUCCCUCACGGCGCCGCUUCUCCGUCUGUUUCUCUUGGCUUCUCCAGGAAAACUGGCGGCGGCAGAACAGUGGUCGUCGUUUCUGCGGCUACCGUGGACACAAACAACAUGCCGAUGACCGGAGUCGUGUUCCAGCCUUUCGAAGAGGUGAAGAAAGCCGAUCUGGCCAUUCCAAUCACAUCUCAUGCCUCCCUCGCUCGCCAGAGGUAUGCCGACGCUAGCGAGGCAGUCAUUAAUGAGCAAAUCAAGUAAGCAUCAAAGCCUUCUCUUUUAUUUUCUGCUCUGCAAAAACGAAAAUGUUUAAAGAUUAGAUCUAACGUUGGUUGAUUUUUAUUCACAGUGUGGAAUACAACGUCUCCUAUGUGUACCAUUCAAUGUACGCAUACUUUGACAGAGACAACGUUGCUCUUAAGGGACUAGCCAAGUAAUUUCUCUUCUAACUUUAAUCUUAAUCAUAUUAAAUCUUGAUCAUAUGUCCAUGCUAAACAUGGGUUUUUUAUAAUCACCAGAUUUUUCAAGGAAUCAAGUGAGGAAGAGAGAGGGCAUGCUGAGAAGUUCAUGGAGUACCAGGUUUUCUAUGUUUACCUUCUUUUCUCUUUUACUAUUUACCAAGUAAUUUUUAAAGGAAAGUUUUAGAAGUUGAAAAAGAUUUGUGAUUUGAGUUAAUUUUCCUAUUGUUGGUUUGUGUGUGUAUACAGAACCAAAGAGGAGGAAGAGUGAAACUCCACCCAAUCGUCGCACCUGUCUCGGAAUUCGAACAUGCUGAAAAAGGAGAUGCAUUAUAUGGUAAAGUUUAAUCAAAUACACUAUAUCUUAAUCCUAAAAUAACUUCUUCCUUUUUAAAAGAUACAGAUAUUUAUUAGUUUAUUACUAAUCUUUGUUUCAGCAAUGGAGUUGGCUCUGUCUCUAGAGAAACUCACUAAUGAGAAGCUACUAAACGUUCACAGAGUAAGUCCCCUCCAUAAUCCAUUUAGUCAUCAAAUAUUAAACUAAUAGUCAUUUUCCUAACCUUAAGUAACAUACACUUUCUGCCAACAAAAUCAGGUGGCCUCAGAGAACAAUGAUCCCCAGUUAGCUGAUUUCGUUGAGACUGAAUUUCUGGGAGAGCAGGUAAAACUUCUUUUGCCUUGGUUCGGACUACAACUAGUGACUUGUAUAAUCUAUACAUGUUCUGACUCAGAAAAUUAUGGACUAUUUCUAGAUUGAAGCAAUCAAGAAGAUCUCAGACUACAUCACCCAGCUAAGGAUGGUUGGCAAAGGCCACGGUACAAAUCAAAACCCUAUAUUGAGACACUGUUCUAAGACUUGAAUGGAAUUUUUACAUUUUUUCUGUCUUUGCAGGAGUUUGGCAUUUCGACCAGAUGCUUCUGAACUAGACUGGACCUCUAUAAGUUCACUUUCAGAUGUCGACCAAUGUUGGGGUUCAAACAGAAGAACCCGAAGAUUCUCUAAAAGCUUUAGGUUGGAAGUUAUGGACUAAUAAGAUUGUAGUAGUAAGCUUUGUGUUCAAGAUGGUUUUUGUAAUAACUUAUUAAGCUUAAUCAAUGAAGUUUUUGUUUUACUAUAUUCUAACUAGCUAUGAAUGAGUCAAUGGCCAAACAAAGCGUAAGUAGUGAAAACUCAGACCUAUCUAAUUAAACAGAGCAUAUCUAUGAUCCAACUUGAAAGAGUAAGCAUAACGAACCUGUUUAUGAAGAACAUGUAAAAGAAGCAUGAAGUGUAUGUCACUUUCCACCGAGAAGGACAAGCUGGUCACUGGGAUAUAACUGAACAGCAAACAAGAACAAGAUCACUGUCACAUCAAAGCAAAAGAGAUGCUCUUACUUUGAUUCCAUGUUGACAAAUGGAAAAUCUUUUAUAACCAAACAAAGACCUCUCUGUACUACAAAGAGCUGACAAAUGUACGAAAAUGGGUAUCCAUAAAAAGUUCAUGACGUAAGAAAACACCACUAACUAGGCUUUCAUGUAGAGACUCUCCCUUAGUGCUUUUAUCUUUUCAUCAUGGUUCUUCAAACCACUAAGCAUUAAGAAAAGAUUGAGAAUCUUAUUUAUAUAAUGACGAAAAAGUUGAGCUUCUUCAAGUGGAAACUUAAACGAUGCCUUAAUGUAAGAAGUCCGUCUCACGGGAACAAGCAAAAUUGGAAGCUUUUAUGACCCUAAGAAUAACACUUAGUUAUCACAGUAAUGCUCUAAUCAAAAGCAAGGAAAUGUCAAAUAAUCCCAAAUCAUAGCAUCAUGCAUCUAAUCUAGAGAAAUACGAAAUUCUAAUAAGAUAAUGCAACGAAUUUGGAAUCCAUAAACAACAAGCCUCAAAAUAGCUCAGACUCCAGCUAAAACCCUAGCAGGGAACAGAAGUGGAAAUCGACACCGCAAGUGCUUAGAAUUGGACAAGGACAAUGAAAUUAGGAGAGACGGAAAGAAAAACUGACAUAAUUGUGAGAUAGUCAUCGAGAAAUUAAUCAAUGAGCUAACGGGGACUCUGGCGAUGCCGAUUAGUUCACUCUGAGAAGACAGAGAUCACUACUCCCAAUCUUGUCGCCAAGGGCACCAAUCGAGUGUCGCCACCUUAAC